GCAGUCGAACGGUCUACCUCGACAGAAACCUUCGGGUUGACGACGAGAUCUAGAUAGUGGCGGACGGGUGAGUAACACGUGAAUAAUCUGUCCUCAAGUCCGGGAUAACCUGGCGAAAGUCGGGCUAAUCCGGGGUAAGCUGAGAGUGUGGCAUCACACAAUCAGAAAAGGUGGCUCUGCCAUCGUUUGAGGAGGAGUUCGCGGUAGAUUAGCUAGCUGGUGAGGUAACGGCUCACCAGGGCAACAAUCUAUAGCUGGUCUGAGAGGACGAUCAGUCACACUGGAACUGAGACACGGUCCAGACUCCUACGGGAGGCAGCAGUGGGGAAUCUUCCACAAUGGGCGCAAGCCUGAUGGAGCAACGCCGCGUGAAUGAAGAAGGCCUUAGGGUCGUAAAGUUCUGUCCUUAGGGAAGAACCGUGGGUAUAGCAAAUGAUACCCACCUGACGGUACCUUUGGAGGAAGCACUGGCUAACUACGUGCCAGCAGCCGCGGUAAUACGUAGAGUGCAAGCGUUGUCCGGAAUUAUUGGGCGUAAAGGGUACGCAGGCGGAUAGUAAAGUCAAGCGUGAAAGGUGUCGGCUUAACCGACAGACUGCGUUUGAAACUGAUUAUCUUGAGUGUAACAGAGGAGAGUGGAAUUCCUAGUGUAGUGGUGAAAUACGUAGAUAUUAGGAAGAACACCAGUGGCGAAGGCGACUCUCUGGGUUAACACUGACGCUGAGGUACGAAAGCUGGGGGAGCGAACGGGAUUAGAUACCCCGGUAGUCCCAGCCGUAA
rnacentral:rRNA from 1 species